ensembl:lncRNA
UUCUUCACUGUUGUCACAUGAAAAGAUAUAAUCAAAUAUUUACAAAAAUGUGAGGGGUGUACUCACUUUUGUAAGAUACUGUACAUGAAAUACUAAAUCAAGGAUAUAAAGAUACCUUUGCUGUAGGUCAAUUAAUUACAUUUACAUUGUAUACCUUUCUAAUGUUAAGUAAGAUGUUCUGAAGGCUGGUUUAAAACAGCAGUGUGGAGUUAAAGUAAUGGCUCUCCUUAUGCUAUAUAAUCCUCUAAAUAAAACAUGUUUGGUGUCCAAAUUGUUGUAGUAAGCUGAUGUGGGUAUGCAAUACUACCAUAAUAACUUACACUAUCUGUAAUAACAUAGACUAACUGCUUUACGCUUUAAAAAAUCUAAAUAAAUUAAAAAUAAAAGAUUAAAAAAACAGAAAAUGAAGUUAAAUUUUGCACUAAAAUAAAGGUUUUAUGCUUGGCUGGAAAAAAGAGAUAAGACAACUGUGACAAAAGGCUGAAGAGGAAAAGACGAGAUAAAUAAAAAACAAAUGGGAAGGAAAAAAGAUAAAAGUCAGAAGAAAAACGAGAUUAAAAAAAGAUGAGAUAAAGACUGAGGAGGAGGAGGGAUAAGAGAUUAAAAAAGAGAGAUAAAAGUCAGAAGAAAAACAUGAAAAAACGUAAAAUCACUUUUAGGUCACAUUUAGGAUUUUCACAUUACUGCACUCAUUCACAUUUUCUUAUGUCUGCUUUUUGGGAAUUCUGGAAUUUUGACAGAUCAAUUUGUUUUACGUUUGUGGCCCUGAAACCUGCAGGGGGCGCCACACGUCAGAGAAUCCAACGUUCAACCCCAUCGGCUCAGUACAAGCUCGAGGGCGUGCAAAUAAAAACACCACACAAGAUUACACUGCAGAUCAGAAUUUAUUUAUUUACUUACAUUUCGGUAGCAUCAACUAAAUAUAAUCCAGAGAAUAAUCUGUAAGAGUUUCAUUUAGAGAUCUCUGCUUGACUUUCAGCAUGUUUUCAAACAAAAGAAAACUAAAAGAAUUUUUUAAAAAAUAAAUAAUAAAUUGUAACUCAGCAAUGUAAAUUUCCUGAAGGUUUCUGACCUGAGUUUCACACUGUUUGUGUCACAACACCUUUUUGUUUGUGUGCUCCACAAAAUUCCACGAAGAAGUGUAAUUCCUGUGAAAAAGAAAAUUUGACUAAAAUAGAACGAUGGAAAAUGACACGCUCUAGUUGACACCCCACACACUCAUUACAUAAUGAUGGUGAAUUUGCAUGUGCAGAUGGGGUCAAAUGAGUAGCUCGUUACAGAGAUUAAACAAACUAAACCACGACCUGUUGCUGUGAUGAAGAGGAGUUUCUGUUACUCAUCAAAAAGUUGAUUAUUUUCCAUUAACAGCACGUCCCCAAGUGGUUAAUUCCUCUUACACCACAACAGUUAGCCAACACUAACCAUUUUCAUUUUUGAAGAACAUCAAGUCACACGUUUAUCCAAUUAUAGCCAGAUAUAAUGUUGUUAGUUCCUGUUUCCACGUACCUCGAUGCAUCUAGAAAUGGUCAUUCCCUCACCAGCCUCUUUUUCACUCUCUCUUGAAGUUAAGGCGAAGAAGAAAACCGCAAAGAAGCGUAAAAUCCUCUGUCCUGAAGAUGUCGGAAAACUUGACAGCUUUAACUCUGACUGUUUCAAAGUGCUGACACUGGAGACUCCUUCCAUCAAUGUUAAUUAAAUAAAUAUCUCUUUAUGGAAAA